UCGAGAAUUUUUCACAAUGGGCGCAAGCCUGAUGGAGCGACGCCGCGUGGGGGAUGAAUGGCUUCGGCCCGUAAACCCCUGUCAUUCGCGAUCAACCCCCGUUAUUUAAAAGAUGACGGGCUGAUAGUAGCGGAAGAGGAAGGGACGGCUAACUCUGUGCCAGCAGCCGCGGUAAUACAGAGGUCCCAAGCGUUGUUCGGAUUCACUGGGCGUAAAGGGUGCGUAGGUGGCGGGGCAAGUCGGAUGUGAAAUCUCGGAGCUCAACUCCGAAAUGGCAUUGGAAACUGCCCUGCUAGAGGUUCGGAGGGGGGACUGGAAUACUUGGUGUAGCAGUGAAAUGCGUAGAUAUCAAGUGGAACACCAGUGGCGAAGGCGAGUCCCUGGACGAGACCUGACACUGAGGCACGAAAGCUAGGGGAGCAAACAGG
rnacentral:rRNA from 1 species